AUAAACAGUAGCUGGAUAUGACAAAAGCGAACUUUUUUUUCAAGGGAGAUGCAAAUAGAAUCGAGAUGUGACACGAGAACAAAGCAAGGAAGAGGAAGACUGAUAGCUGGUGCCAGGCAGCUGGGCAGACAUGACAGCGAGAGGAGCAGGUGUACCAGAAAAGUAGUCCAAGAGGGAGUACAAAGAAAAGCUGAUCAGGUUAAUAGGGCAAGCACAGAGGAAUCUCGGGAAGUGGUUGUCAUGUCAACAAAGGUGUGACACUCUUCAGGAGCAGCUGUUGGCGUAGCAACACAAAGAGGCACAAAUGAACCGGGAGAGAAGCGCUGAUAAAGAGAGCGUGACAAGUCUGAGGAAGGCUCUGGAGCAUCUGGUCGGUCUGACAUGAAGCAGACGAGUUGAAGGAAACACUCAGACCAGAAUGUCAGGAGAGUGAAAUUCUGACUGCUGCCUUGUCUCAAGCUCAGCAGGAUCUUCUUGGGCUGCAGACCCUUGCACCUCAACUCUCCAUCUGGGUCUACUCCGCCACAAACUGCUGCCCAGGCUGAAAGUGAGCAACACUUUAAGAGGCAUCAAGCACAAGGUGCCUUUGGGGAAGGGCGGGUCACAAUGCAGCUCUUCACAUUGCGACUGGUUGACAUUUUCUUCGUGUUUCGCCCUUUCACUCACACACAUCCACAGAAAACAUCAUUAGGGCUGGAGUGGAGGAGCAUGAUGUCCCUCACUGUCUGUGGGCACAGACAAUGUCUGUUGUUGACAUUGUAUGUUGUUGACAUCAUUCACACUGAGAGACAGGCGUAAAGAAAGUGUGUGCGUCAAGGAACUAAUUUCCCUUCUCGAGGGCACACAUGGAAGCCUUUUGGUUUUCACUCCCUGCGAUCCCACUUUUCCACUCCAGCUGGGAGACAAUGCAUGGACGUACUGUCCCCACAGAGAGAAGGGGCCAUCAUGAUUUUGUCCACUCACUGCCUCCUAUGUGUGGUAGGAGUCACCAUAUUGAUGACAGGAUGGGGGAGGUUUAGUUCCAUUUAAAAUGGUUUCAAAAGAAAGCGCAAACUGAUGGUUUAUAAGGUAGUAAAAAAAAUCCAAGUAUCAGUUUUUACACAUGGAGAGAGCUUUACAUUGUCCACUCUUGAUUUAUUAUUUUAUUUUUUUACUUUGUACUAUUUUGUUUAUAUUUUCAGGGUAGUCCAGCUCUCCUCCACAAUCUAAUAGUAUGCUGCAUCAUUUCUGAAAAGCUAAUAAGGGCUACUUGAGGUUACAAAGUUUGUUUUGAUGCAAAAGUGACAGUCAUUAACCUUGUGCAUGACUUCCACUAGCUGUUGGCUGAUAAAAUUGUAUUCAAGGUUUACACAGUCACUUCUGAGUUAGUUUUUAAAAUUGGGUUUAUGUACCUUAAUAGUAGAUUCUUUAUGUCGGCUGGGAAUUUAUAAAAGAGUGUUCAACUGUUUUAAUGGGAUUCUGCAGUGGCACGUGCACCCCGUAAAACUGUCAUGGGAGAGCACAGAGGCUUCUAUCUAAAAAAAA